CCUACUUUGUUCCGCCGUGCGGAAUAUUGGUCAAUGGGCGCGAGCCUGAACCAGCCAAGUAGCGUGAAGGAUGACUGCCCUACGGGUUGUAAACUUCUUUUAUAAAGGAAUAAAGUGAGGCACGUGUGCCUUUUUGUAUGUACUUUAUGAAUAAGGAUCGGCUAACUCCGUGCCAGCAGCCGCGGUAAUACGGAGGAUCCGAGCGUUAUCCGGAUUUAUUGGGUUUAAAGGGAGCGUAGAUGGGUUGUUAAGUCAGUUGUGAAAGUUUGCGGCUCAACCGUAAAAUUGCAAUUGAUACUGGCAGCCUUGAGUACAGUUGAGGUAGGCGGAAUUCGUGGUGUAGCGGUGAAAUGCUUAGAUAUCACGAAGAACUCCGAUUGCGAAGGCAGCUUACUAAACUGCCACUGACAUUGAUGCUCGAAAGUGUGGGUAUCAAACAGGAUUAGAUACCCGAGUAGUC
rnacentral:rRNA from 1 species